AUCAUUAUCUAAAAGGCGCUUCCAGUCCAGUCAUCGUGUAUACGGAACACAAGAACCUCAAAUAUUUUAUGUCCGUAUGCGUAUUAAAUUGUCGUCAAGCUCGUUGGAAUAUGUCUUUAUCAAGAUUCGAGUUCAUCAACACUUAUCGGCUAGGAAAACAAUAAGGUUUAUCUCAUGCCUUGUCUAGACGUUCUUAUCUUGUACCAAAAAAAGGAGAUGUAGCUUUUGAGUAAUAAAGAACGGUUCUCUUGAAGCCAAAGCAAUUUCAUCUUUGAGUAAUUAAAUCAACAUUGACU
rnacentral:lncRNA from 1 species